UACAUUUCUGUGGAGUUUGAGUUUCUGGAAAGUAUACACUUCUUACUUUGAACCAAUGUGAAAAGUAAUGUACUACUGAGAAACUAGUCUAAAUGGAAUUUCUACAAUGUCCUUCCUACAAUGCUCAUUACUUCACCUUCUGUUCCUUGGAGCAUCAAGUUAUGUGAAGACCACAUCACAAGGUUUUACAAGCAUGAGCCCCAACUCUGCACGGAUGGAAGCAGUCCUCAGAAUGUGUUUAGCAGAAUGGUUCCUUGGGCCUCCUCCCCAUGUCCUCAUGGUUUGGCUGACGUGCUGCACUGAAGACUCUUUCCAGACUCUCUUCCUCCAUAUUAUGCUGAUUAGCCUGUGGCAGCUGUCCCGGCCUGAGAGGUUUGUGAAAAUACACAAGCUGUAGCUGAAGAAUGAUCUGAUCCUGUUGCCGUCUCAGUCUGAUGGAUGAAAUGAAUCUAUACGCUGGAGGGUUGUCCACGGCUUGGUGCAGUUUCCUGCCACCUGCUUCACUCCAGAACGCUGAAGCUCCUGCUACUGAAACAAAGAUGGCGUGGUUCUUCACUUACUGGUUAAGCGGUGUGGUUUUUGUACUGUGAUUGUCGUCUUGUCUGUGAAAUAAAACGUGACUUCAACCUU